rnacentral:lncRNA from 1 species
AUGAGAAUUUAGAGAAGAGCGGGACAAAGCUUCAAAUGGAAAUGCAAGGCACAUCUGCAGUAAAUGCACAAAGCUUGAGGCCGUUCACAGAGUUCUCUUCUGCGGACUACUUUGAUAACAUCCCUGGACCCAGAAUGCAAGGAGAGUCCCAAUGGGAUUAUAGAGAAGCAAAUAAAGCAAGGGACUGACAACCAACUAUAUUGCCACUGACAGAUAUUAAACAACUUGAAACAACUGGUGUAG